UCACUUUUGGAUGGUCCCGCGGCGUAUUAGCUAGAUGGUGGGGUAACGGCUCACCAUGGCAAUGAUACGUAGCCGACCUGAGAGGGUAAUCGGCCACAUUGGGACUGAGACACGGCCCAAACUCCUACGGGAGGCAGCAGUAGGGAAUCUUCC
rnacentral:rRNA from 1 species